UGCCGCCCCCUCCCUGAAGCAGCUCCUCAGCGUGUUAACGCUCUUCUGAAGUGCAGAAGGCCGCAAAAAACGAGGGUGGCUGGCAAGACAGUUUUUUUUUCCUCGUACGAGGCUCUGAAGAGGAACACUAGCUUUGUUGGAGGUAUGGGGAAAAGGAGAUUAGGGUAUUAUUCAGUCUUUCACAGGUAACAAGGCCUUGAAGGAAGGAGCAAGACAACACUAUAAGGCAACCAGAUAAGGAAUAAAAAUAAACCUGAAGAGAACGAAAACAGUUGAUAAACAGGAGAGACCUACUUGAACUACGGGUGAACUAUCCUAAUUAGCAUAAUAAAAAACCCACCUACAAGCAGGGAAGCCCCCUGCUGAUCAAGCCCCUUCUCCAUAGAGCAUGCGUAGUAGAAAAAGAGGAUACUGUGACUUUAAAUGAAGAUGAGACCUAACAGAACCAAUGGGAACAAGGAUGCCUUAAUGUAGUUGUAAACUAUACUGAUAACUGUUGCUUAAACUGUAUACAGUGUAAGCUGUAUAGUAGUCAGGUGCGCUAGCUUUGUGGAAUUACCACCUAGCACCCAUUUCUGCGCAGAAAUGAAUUAAACAAAUAUCUCGACUCUGUGUGUUUUUGGCUCAUUGCACACCGGGUGAAAGAACCCUUCUUUGGGACAACAGCUUCAUUCGCAUCUGAGGAGAAUUUGGGUAGCUAGACUGUUAACUGUUCAAUUUCUGAAAUGAGUGACCUGCUCUCCUCUCACUAAUGCCACGGUGUCAAGCUACAGCAAAAACGAAGGCUGUAACGCGAAGUUAAUAUUCAGCUCUUCAGUUAGAUGAGUGGUUUUCUUUUUUUUUUUAGUUGAGAGAAAUUGGGAAAUAUUCCUUACUGUUUAAUUUAAGGAAUCUAAUCCUGACAAUUCAAAACAAUGAAUAUAAACUCAAGAAUUAAAGGGGUAAACUGCUGGCACUGUUUUUUAUGCAGCCUAAGCCAUCACUUGAAAGAUGAGUGAUUGUUUCGCUACUGUAGCGGUAUCCUGCUUGUGGUUACGAAACAUAAUGGCAGAUGUACUAAUGAAUGUCUUCUAGUUCUUGUGCCAGAGUUGUUUGAUUCAGGCUGCGACUGCACUGUCUAAGCAUGCUUUCCAGGAACAUGCAUGUGUCUUGUGAGGCUAAGAUGCAUCUAAUUAGUUAAUAUACUCCACUCUGCUGGCAAGCGCUAUUGGUUACUUGGAGUCAUUUUUUAGUUUAUCAAGUCUUCAAAGUAGUGAUAAAUUAGACAUCCAAAGAGAUUUGUUUGCUUUUUAUCUUCAUAAAUCACUUUCUUCAUCAGCAAAUGCAUGGCCUAAUUCUAAAGAUAAAUUACUUUUUUUUUUCCCCCUCCGGGGAAUUUGUUUAGUGUUCUGUAGUGAGCCUGAUCAUGCCCUUUUUGGAUUGUAGGUACAGAUUAAAAAUCAUGAGUAAUUGCAGGGACAGAAUCCCAAGGUAUCUCCAUAGUCUCAAAGGCAGCAUCCUCUUGCCAGGAUGAUUGCAUGAGUGCGAUCUUGAGUUGAACCUGUAGGAAAACAUGUCAUCCAUGGCACAUGAAAGGUUCAAGGCUCUCCUCUCUCCAGUGAUGGAUAUUCCUUAGGAAUAGCAUGUAAUUGUAAAAUCUUAUUCUUUGUUUGGGACUUGUUUUAGAUAUAAUGUUAAUGCCUUUUAUUUAACCUUAAUCUCCAGACUGAUACUGUGUGUACUUUGCCUCUCUCCCCAGUUAAUAAAGCCAGCAAUGCUUUCAUGAAGCUGUCAAGUGGAUUGAUAUUUCUUUGCUGCCUGGGUUACUUUCGCCGAGGAGCGCUGAGGGUUUUUGUUACUGGCUCUGAAGUGGAGCUCUGUGAUGAAGAAAACCUAUUUUUUUUGCUUCUCAAUUUGUUUUCUUUGUUCUAGGUAGUAAAUGGAGUUGGAGGUGAAUUUGUUUCUGGCUUUGAGAAUCUUCAGUCUAGACUUUGCCAUGCUGUUAUUCUGCAAGCAAAAAGGCAUCACAUGAUUUCUCACGCUACAGACGUGGUAUAUCAUCAGAUGACUAUCUCAACUAUCUCUGCUUCUAGAAGCAUGGAUGUUUAGGAAGUGGAAAAUAGAAGCCUGAAGUGUGGAGUCCAAGUGCACUUGGAAACACUUACACAGCCCUUCCUGCUCCUGAG